rnacentral:rRNA from 1 species
AGGUAAGCUACUAAGAGCGAAUGGUGGAUGCCUUGACUGGUAAAGGCGAUGAAGGACGUACUAGACUGCGAUAAGCUACGGGGAGCUGUCAAGAAGCUUUGAUCCGUAGAUUUCCGAAUGGGGCAACCCAAUGUAUAGAGAUAUACAUUACCUAUAUAGGAGCGAACGAGGGGAAUUGAAACAUCUUAGUACCCUCAGGAAAAGAAAUCAAUAGAGAUUGCGUCAGUAGCGGCGAGCGAAAGCGCAAGAGGGCAAACCCAGUGCUUGCACUGGGGGUUGUAGGACUGCAAUAUGCAAGAGGUAAGUUUAGCAGAACAUUCUGGAAAGUAUAACCAUAGAGGGUGAUAGUCCCGUAUGCGAAAAACAAACCUUAGCUAGCAGUAUCCUGAGUAGGGCGGGACACGAGGAAUCCUGUCUGAAUCCGGGUCGACCACGAUCCAACCCUAAAUACUAAUACCAGAUCGAUAGUGCACAAGUACCGUGAGGGAAAGGUGAAAAGAACUGAGGUGAUCAGAGUGAAAUAGAACCUGAAACCAUUUGCUUACAAUCAUUCAGAGCCCUAUGUAGCAAUACAGGGUGAUGGACUGCCUUUUGCAUAAUGAGCCUGCGAGUUGUGGUGUCUGGCAAGGUUAAGCAAACGCGAAGCCGUAGCGAAAGCGAGUCUGAAUAGGGCGCUUAGUCAGAUGCUGCAGACCCGAAACGAAGUGAUCUAUCCAUGAGCAAGUUGAAGCUAGUGUAAGAACUAGUGGAGGACUGAACCCAUAGGCGUUGAAAAGCCCCGGGAUGACUUGUGGAUAGGGGUGAAAGGCCAAUCAAACUUCGUGAUAGCUGGUUCUCUCCGAAAUAUAUUUAGGUAUAGCGUUGUGUCGUAAUAUAAGGGGGUAGAGCACUGAAUGGGCUAGGGCAUACACCAAUGUACCAAACCCUAUCAAACUCCGAAUACCUUAUAUGUAAUCACAGCAGUCAGGCGGCGAGUGAUAAAAUCCGUCGUCAAGAGGGAAACAACCCAGACUACCAGCUAAGGUCCCUAAGUCUUACUUAAGUGGAAAACGAUGUGAAGUUACUUAAACAACCAGGAGGUUGGCUUAGAAGCAGCCAUCCUUUAAAGAAAGCGUAAUAGCUCACUGGUCUAGUGAUUUUGCGCGGAAAAUAUAACGGGGCUAAAGUAAGUACCGAAGCUGUAGACUUAGUUUACUAAGUGGUAGGAGAGCGUUCUAUUUGCGUCGAAGGUAUACCGGUAAGGAGUGCUGGAGCGAAUAGAAGUGAGCAUGCAGGCAUGAGUAGCGAUAAUUAAUGUGAGAAUCAUUAACGCCGUAAACCCAAGGUUUCCUACGCGAUGCUCGUCAUCGUAGGGUUAGUCGGGUCCUAAGUCGAGUCCGAAAGGGGUAGACGAUGGCAAAUUGGUUAAUAUUCCAAUACCAACAUUAGUGUGCGAUGGAAGGACGCUUAGGGCUAAGGGGGCUAGCGGAUGGAAGUGCUAGUCUAAGGUCGUAGGAGGUUAUACAGGCAAAUCCGUAUAACAAUACUCCGAGAACUGAAAGGCUUUUUGAAGUCUUCGGAUGGAUAGAAGAACCCCUGAUGCCGUCGAGCCAAGAAAAGUUUCUAAGUUUAGCUAAUGUUGCCCGUACCGUAAACCGACACAGGUGGGUGGGAUGAGUAUUCUAAGGCGCGUGGAAGAACUCUCUUUAAGGAACUCUGCAAAAUAGCACCGUAUCUUCGGUAUAAGGUGUGGUUAGCUUUGUAUUAGGAUUUACUCCGAAAGCAAGGAAACUUACAACAAAGAGUCCCUCCCGACUGUUUACCAAAAACACAGCACUCUGCUAACUCGUAAGAGGAUGUAUAGGGUGUGACGCCUGCCCGGUGCUCGAAGGUUAAUUGAUGGGGUUAGCAUUAGCGAAGCUCUUGAUCGAAGCCCGAGUAAACGGCGGCCGUAACUAUAACGGUCCUAAGGUAGCGAAAUUCCUUGUCGGUUAAAUACCGACCUGCAUGAAUGGCGUAACGAGAUGGGAGCUGUCUCAAAGAGGGAUCCAGUGAAAUUGUAGUGGAGGUGAAAAUUCCUCCUACC